rnacentral:rRNA from 1 species
AUUGAACGCUGGCGGCAUGCCUUACACAUGCAAGUCGAACGGCAGCACGGACUUCGGUCUGGUGGCGAGUGGCGAACGGGUGAGUAAUAUAUCGGAACAUACCUUGUAGUGGGGGAUAACUAUCCGAAAGGAUAGCUAAUACCGCAUACGAUCUAAGGAUGAAAGCGGGGGAUCUUCGGACCUCGUGCUAUAAGAGUGGCCGAUAUCUGAUUAGCUAGUUGGUGAGGUAAAGGCUCACCAAGGCGACGAUCAGUAGCUGGUCUGAGAGGACGACCAGCCAAACUGGAACUGAGACACGGUCCAGACUCCUACGGGAGGCAGCAGUGGGGAAUUUUAGACAAUGGGGGUAACCCUGAUCCAUCAAUGCCGCGUGAGUGAAGAAGGCCUUCGGGUUGUAAAGCUCUUUUGUCAGGGAAGAAACGGUUGUGGCUAAUAUCCAUGGCUAAUGACGGUACCUGAAGAAUAAGCACCGGCUAACUACGUGCCAGCCGCCGCGGUAAAAC